rnacentral:rRNA from 1 species
CCUACGGGUGGCUGCAGUGGGGGAUAUUGCACAAUGGGGGGAACCCUGAUGCAGCGACGCCGCGUGGGUGAAGAAGCGCCUCGGCGCGUAAAGCCCUGUCAGCAGGGAAGAAAAUGACGGUACCUGAAGAAGAAGCCCCGGCUAACUACGGGCCAGCAGCCGCGGGAAUACUUAGGGGGCAAGCGUUAGCCGGAUUUAAUGGGUGUAAAGGGGGCGCAGACGGCGCUGCAAGCCAGGAGGGAAAGCCCGGGCGCAACCCCCGGGACUGCUCUUGGAACUGCGUGGCGGGAGUGCAGGAGGGGCAGGCGGAAUUCCUGGUGUAGCGGUGAAAUGCGUAGAUAUCAGGAGGAACACCGGUGGCGAAGGCGGCCUGCUGGACUGCAACUGACGUUGAGGCCCGAAAGCGUGGGGAGCAAACAGGAUUAGAUACCCCAGUAGUC